rnacentral:rRNA from 1 species
AAACGGAUGCUAAUACCCCAUAGGUGGAUUGGUCGCAUGGCGAAUUCAUUAAAGGUGGCUUUGCCACCACUCAUGGAUAGCCUCGCGGCGUAUUAGCUAGUUGGUAAGGUAAUGGCUUACCAAGGCAGUGAUACGUAGCCGACUUGAGAGGGUGAUCGGCCACACUGGGACUGAGACACGGCCCAG